AUGAAGUCAUUUCUCAUCCUUGCCCUCCUUGCUAUCGUGGCGACCACCGCCACAACUGCAGUUAGAGUUCCAGUGCCACAAUUGCAGCCACAAAAUCCAUCUCAGCAACAACCACAAGAGCAAGUUCCAUUGGUGCAACAACAACAAUUUCUAGGGCAGCAACAACAAAAAUUUCCAGGGCAGCAGCAACCAUUUCCACCACAACAGCCAUAUCCGCAGCCGCAACCAUUUCUGCCACAACUACCAUUUCCGCAGCCGCAACCAUUUCCACCACAACAAUCAUAUCCACAACCGCAACCACAGUAUCCACAACCACAACAACCAAUUUCGCAGCAACAAGCACAACAACAACAACAACAACAACAACAAAUCCUUCAACAAAUUCUGCAACAACAACUGAUUCCAUGCAAGGAUGUCGUCUUGCAACAACCCAACAUAGCACAUGCUAGCUCACAAGUAUCGCAACAAAGUUACCAACUGUUGCAACAAUUAUGUUGUCAGCAAUUGUGGCAGACCCCCGAACAGUCACGGUGCCAAGCCAUCCACAAUGUCGUGCAUGCUAUUAUUCUGCAUCAUCAACAACAACAACAACAACAACAACAACAACAACAACAACAACAACAACAACAACAACAACAACAACCGUCGAGCCAGGUCUCCUACCAGCAGCCUCAACAAUAAUAUCCAUCGGCCCAGGGCUCCUUCCAGCCAUCUCAGCAAAACCCACAGGCCCAGGGCUUUGUCCAACCUCAACAACUGCCCCAGUUCGAGGAAAUAAGGAACCUAGCACUGCAGACGCUACCUGCAAUGUGCAAUGUCUACAUCCCUCCAUAUUGCUCGACCACCAUUGUGCCAUUUGGCAUCAUCGGUACUAACUGA
rnacentral:rRNA from 1 species